UGACCCCCGCCGCCCCGCGGGCCUGCCCCGCGCCGAGUCCGUCCCUCUCGUCGCUGCGUCCGCCCCGGGUGCCAGCCCCGCGGGGGCCGCGGGGGACCCGAGCGCCCGACCUCUCCCCCCCGCCCGGCCCCUUCCCCUCCCAGCCCCUGCGGGGCAGCCCCGCUCCCAGCGGCCUGGGCCUGGGGCCGGCGGCAGCCGGCAGGCCGCACACUUCGUAAAGACCGGCUGGGUGUUGCUGGCAAACAGCCGGCAGUGAAUCACGGCGCUGGGUGCUCCUGGUAGCCAUAUAAAUAUCCAGCCCCGUUAGCAAUCUCAAAAUCUUGGCCCAACUAACGGUGACAGCGGUGCUGCAAUUUCUCUGCGCGGUACGUCAUCUCUCUAACACCGCUUUCCAGACAGAGCAGCAGGUCCCCAGAGCGCUCGGUGGAGGCAGUCCCGGGGAUCGAAUAAAAGCACAACGAUCGUUACACGCAUGCCUCUCAAGCGUAAGUUGUGCAGAGAUUUCCACUGAGCUGCAUAAAACAACCCCUGGUCCCUUUCUUGGCUGGACAGAUGUAUAGAUUAAUUGUAAAUAGAUCUGGUUUUAGCUCCACAUGUUAAAUAAACAUUCAGUUCUCCAGUG